rnacentral:rRNA from 1 species
GGCGCGAAAACUUUACAAUGCAGGAAACUGUGAUAAGGGAACCCCGAGUGCCCGUAUACGCGGGCUGUCCAGGUGUUUAAAAAGCANCUGAAGAAAGGGCCGGGCAAGACCGGUGCCCGCCGCCGCGGUAAUACCGGCGGCUCGAGUGGUGGCCACUAUUAUUGGGCUUAAAGCGUCCGUAGCUGGACUGUUAAGUCUCUUGGGAAAUCCGCCGGCUUAACCGACGGGCGUNNAAGAGAUACUGAGAGUCUAGGGACCGGGAGAGGUGAGAGGUACUCCGGGGGUAGGAGUGAAAUCCUGUAAUCCCUGGGGGACCACCGAUGGCGAAGGCAUCUCACCAGAACGGCUCCGACAGUGAGGGACGAAAGCUGGGGGAGCGAACCGGAUUAGAUACCCGGGUAGUCCCAGCCGUAAACUAUGCGCGUUAGGUGUACUGGUGACCACGAGU